rnacentral:rRNA from 1 species
UACAGAGGGGGCGAGCGUUGUUCGGAAUUACUGGGCGUAAAGGGCGCGUAGGCGGCCGACUAAGUCAGACGUGAAAUCCCCGGGCUCAACCCGGGAACUGCGUCUGAUACUGGUUGGCUGGAGUCCGGGAGAGGGAAGCGGAAUUCCAGGUGUAGCGGUGAAAUGCGUAGAUAUCUGGAGGAACACCGGUGGCGAAGGCGGCUUCCUGGACCGGUACUGACGCUGAGGCGCGAAAGCCAGGGGAGCAAACGGG